rnacentral:rRNA from 1 species
AACAGAUAAGGAGCUUGCUCCUUUGACGUUAGCGGCGGACGGGUGAGUAACACGUGGGUAACCUACCUAUAAGACUGGGACAACUUCGGGAAGCCGGAGCUAAUACCGGAUAAUAUGUUGAACCGCAUGGUUCAAUAGUGAAAGAUGGUUUUGCUAUCACUUAUAGAUGGACCCGCGCCGUAUUAGCUAGUUGGUGAGGUAACGGCUCACCAAGGCAACGAUACGUAGCCGACCUGAGAGGGUGAUCGGCCACACUGGAACUGAGACACGGUCCAGACUCCUACGGGAGGCAGCAGUAGGGAAUCUUCCGCAAUGGGCGAAAGCCUGACGGAGCAACGCCGCGUGAGUGAUGAAGGUCUUAGGAUCGUAAAACUCUGUUAUUAGGGAAGAACAAACGUGUAAGUAACUGUGCACGUCUUGACGGUACCUAAUCAGAAAGCCACGGCUAACUACGUGCCAGCAGCCGCGGUAAUACGUAGGUGGCAAGCGUUAUCCGGAAUUAUUGGGCGUAAAGCGCGCGUAGGCGGUUUUUUAAGUCUGAUGUGAAAGCCCACGGCUCAACCGUGGAGGGUCAUUGGAAACUGGAAAACUUGAGUGCAGAAGAGGAAAGUGGAAUUCCAUGUGUAGCGGUGAAAUGCGCAGAGAUAUGGAGGAACACCAGUGGCGAAGGCGACUUUCUGGUCUGUAACUGACGCUGAUGUGCGAAAGCGUGGGGAUCAAACAGGAUUAGAUACCCUGGUAGUCCACGCCGUAAACGAUGAGUGCUAAGUGUUAGGGGGUUUCCGCCCCUUAGUGCUGCAGCUAACGCAUUAAGCACUCCGCCUGGGGAGUACGACCGCAAGGUG